UCCUACGGGGGGCAGCAGUGGGGGAUAUUGGACAAUGGGGGGAACCCUGAUCCAGCGACGCCGCGUGAGUGAAGAAGUAUUUCGGUAUGUAAAGCUCUGUCAGCAGGGAAGAAAGAAAUGACGGUACCUGACCAAGAAGCCCCGGCUAACUACGUGCCAGCAGCCGCGGUAAUACGUAGGGGGGCAAGCGUUAUCCGGAUUUACUGGGUGUAAAGGGAGCGUAGACGGAGGACCAAGUCUGAUGUGAAAAUCCGGGGCCCAACCCCGGAACUGCAUUGGAAACUGUUUAUCUAGAGUGUCGGAGG
rnacentral:rRNA from 1 species